GUGGAUUAGAUACCCUGGUAGUCCACGCCGUAAACGAUGGAUACUAGCUGUUGGGAGCAAUCUCAGUGGCUAAGCGAAAGUGAUAAGUAUCCCACCUGGGGAGUACGAACGCAAGUUUGAAACUCAAAGGAAUUGACGGGGGCCCGCACAAGCGGUGGAGCAUGUGGUUUAAUUCGAUGAUACGCGAGGAACCUUACCAAGGCUUAAAUGUAGUUUGACCGAUUUGGAAACAGAUCUUUCGCAAGACAAAUUACAAGGUGCUGCAUGGCCGUCGUCAACU
rnacentral:rRNA from 1 species